rnacentral:lncRNA from 1 species
UUUGGUAAUAAUAAUUCAAUUUACAAAACUCUCUCUUUACUUUCCCUCUCUACAAUUCACAGCUCUUACAUUUUCUUAUAGUUAUCAUGGUAUCAGAGUUGAUCAAGGCUUGCGCCAUCGAUUGAUGAUCUUAUUGCUUCCGCUCAUCUGCUUCUUCGUGUUGUUUGAUCAGAGCGUUGCCUUUGUUGCUCUGUAGCAACAUAUAAUCGUUGGAGUUGGUGGAGUCGCGGGUGUUUGUUCGUGGUGAUUGUCGGUGAAGUCGAUGUCGUCGUCGUCGGAGUUCCUUUGAAACCCUAGUUUUUGGGGAUUUAUCGAGGUGUUGAGUCGUCAAAGUUCACGAAGGUGAUUUUCUUCUAUUUGUUUGUUGAUUCUUAAUCCUUUGAUUCUUGAUUCUUGUUCGUCUAAACCCUAAUUUUUGGGAAUUGUUGUUCACGAUUCCUACUGUAUUCUGUGUUUCUGUGGAUUUGUUUAUCUGUGCUAUGAUUGAUCUGUUUGUAUCUUCACAAUGGUUACCUUUGCUCAGUUAAUGCUUACACAAUCGCCUAUUGCUUCUCUGAUUCCAAGUGUGGGUAAUACUGUUACUGUGAAGUUAGAUGACUCUAACUAUGUGACUUGGAAUUUUCAAAUGAAGUUGUUGUUAGAUGGUAAUGGAAUUAGUGGUUUUGUUGAUGGAUCCAUUCCGUGUCCUACCAAAUUUGUUGAUUCUGAAUCUGAAGGGGAGGUUGAUAAUCAUGUGCCUGUAAUUUAUGAUGCAUACAAGUUGUGGAAAAUUCAUGAUAAAGCAUUGAUGACUAUUCUUAAUGCUACUUUGUCCACUGUUGUUUUAUCUUGUGUGAUUGGAUGUCAGAGUUCUCAAGAAAUGUGGCUUAGUCUUAGAGAACGGUUUGCGUACAUGACCAGGACUAGUAUAAUUCAAAUGAAAAUUGAUUUGCAACAUAUACAGAAAGGGUCUGAAUCAAUUGAUGAGUAUCUUCAAAGAAUUAAUGAUACCAGAGAUCAACUUCCUAUUGUUGGGGUUUUCAUAUCUGAUGAGGAUAUUGUGAUUGCGGCUCUUCGAGACCUACCUUUUGAGUAUAACACCAUCAAGUCUGUGAUUCGUGGUCGUGAAACUCUUAUGUCCUUGGAGUCCACUUUGCAAGAAGUUUCAAAGCAAGUUCCUUUGAUGUCUACAAUGCUAGCUCAAUCUUCCAAAUCUGGCACACAUAUGGGUAGUUUUUUCUGGUUCUUCACAGUUUCAUGAAUCACAGUCACUUCAACAAAUGCCUUUUCCAAAUCAAUUCUCCCAACUGCCUGUGUCUGGACCAUUGCUUUUGUGUCUCAAACUGGUUCAGGGUCUUACAACAAUUUCCAAGGAAACAAUUGGAAGAACAAAGGCAAAUACAAGAAGUUUUUUUUCCGGAUCUCAACCUUCUCAAUCUCAAUUCUCGGGAGGUCCGUCAUAUCCUCAACGAUUUCAAUCUGGUGUUCAGCCUUCAGGACAACAAAUGUCAUCACCUCAGGCUUAUCAACCUUUUCAGAAAUGCCAAAUUUGUGACAAGAAAGGGCAUUCUGCUUUGAAUUGUUAUCAAAAUGGAUGUCAAAUCUGUCAUCAUGUUGGACAUACUGCUGCUACAUGUUUUGACAUAAACAAUUUCAAUUUUCAGUCUUUCAUUCCUUCACGAGGGUAUCAGCCACAUCCUCAAGGAUAUUCAAUCUCACAGGCUUCUGGUUCUCAGUUUGUUCCAUCCCUUGUUAUCUCAUCUCCAUAUCCACCUCAUACUGCCUUUUCACCUCAACAAUAUCAUUCAUUCGGUGGUGCUCCUCAAUCAUUCUCCCCAGUUGCACUGAACGCUAGAACUACUGGACCAUCUUCAGCUCCACAACAAGAGUUUUGGUUGCUUGAUUCUGGGGCUGCCGAUCAUAUGACAUCUGAUCUUUCUAAUCUUCAGAUGGCUGCGCCUUAUCCUUCUACAAAUACUGUUACUGGUGCCAAUGGUGAAGGUUUACCUAUUGCACAUAUUGGCAGAUCUAAUCUUCAUACUAAGUCUCAUACUUUUCGAUUAAAUUCAGUACUUCAUGUUCCUCAGUUGUCACAACAUCUGCUCUUAAUGAAUCAGUUGUGUCGUGAUAAUCAUUGCAGAUGUAUCAUUGAUGAUUCUUCUAUUUGUGUGCAGGACAAGGUCACCCAAAAGAUUCUAUUUCAAGGGCUGAGUAACAAUGCAGUUUACCCUAUUCCAGUGUUCAAACCUUCACCUCAUUCUCCAGCAGCAUACUUAGGUCAAAAAGUUUCUUCUACUUUGUGGCACUGUAAGUUGGGUCAUCCAACUAAUUCAGUUGUUAAAAUAGCUCUUAGUAAAUCCUCUAUCCCCUUUACCUGUAAUUCAUCACCUUACACUUGCAUCCUUUCAAGUCUACGUUUUUCUUUAUGUAUCAUAUGUCUUAAUUGUAUAGACAUUGCAUCCUUGCAAGUCUACGUUUCUGUGUGAAUCCAAUGUAAAUAAGCAAUUGGAUCUCUUUCUGCCAAUGCAAAUAAACAGCCACAUUUCAGGAAAUUUAGGGAGACGUUCAAAUGAGAUGCAAUUAAGCCAAAUUAAUAAACACAGUCGACUUCAACCAGUAUUAUACGAUGAAAAUGAUAUCCGACACAACCUACAAUGUGAAAACUCAGACAAGUUAAGGACACAAACUUACAAUACUUAGCCAAAGGUUAGCUGCUACCAACGACAAUGAGCAGCGCUGCAUCUGCCAUCUGCAUCGAGGCGUCUAAAAUUUUUACAACAUCUGAACUCGUUUGGCCUACGAACAUCAUACAUCCCGGACUUCAACUUUUCCUUGAUACACACUCAAUAACUGAGGUACUUGAUCGACAUAUCUGGUCACAUAACUCUCCAAGAAGCGCUUCUCUGACGGCACCAAUACAGAACUCAAACUCACGUUUUCAAUCCCCUUUAUCAAUCCUUUCAGCAACAAAACUUUAACAACCAAGCAGCGCUGCAUCUGAACUUGUUUGACCUACGAACAUCAUACAUCCCGGACUUCAACUUUUCCUCGAUACACACUCAAUAACUGAGGUACUUGAUCGAUAUAUCUGGCCACAUACCUCUCCAAGAACAACUUCUCUACAGGCACCACCACAGAACUCAAACUCACGUUUUCAAUCCCCUUUAUCAAUCCCUUCAGCAACAAAACUUUAACAACCAAGCAGCGGGGGAUGAAUCUCUUCUCCAAACUGUAACACAUGACCUCUGGGGAUUUGGCAAUCAUUACCGACGGCCACCCCAUCUUAUUCACUAAAAAUUCCAUUGCUAGCAUUAGUUUCUUCUCCGACACAAUCAUACAUAUCGGGUGCCUCCUGAAAGCAGAGACUAGAUCAUCCUCAGACCAUCCCCACCUCUUAUAAACUUGGCGAUUUCGAUUACAUGCAAACCUGCUACCACACAAUGCUUUUAUUGCCGGCACCGAAGUUGAUUUUUGCAGAUUAAAACCCAUUUGCUUAACCUCGUCCACAACUUUACCAAUCUCUUCAGGCUUUACCAUUAAAGCUUUUGGGUGAUGAGCAAGCAACAGAGAAAUGCAGGAAUAGGGCAUACCUGAUUCUCUCAAAAUCUCAAUAUUUGGGGCAACAUUCUUGGAGUGGCCUUCCUUGAAAAUCCGCG